UCCUAAGGUAGCGAAAUUCCUUGUCGGUUAAAUACCGACCUGCAUGAAUGGCGUAACGAGAUGGGAGCUGUCUCAACCAGAGAUUCAGUGAAAUUGUAGUGGAGGUGAAAAUUCCUCCUACCCGCGGCAAGACGGAAAGACCCCGUGGACCUUUACUACAACUUAGCACUGCUAAUGGGAAUAUCAUGCG
rnacentral:rRNA from 1 species